UGUCCCAUUUUGUUGUGCUAAUUCCCUAGACUGGAAACCCUUGAGAGAAGCAUAAGAUGGGCAAGAGGGAGGAUUCUCCAUCUUAAUGAUGCUGAUGGACUUCUCCCAUUUGUUAGCCAAUUUAUUCAACUUGUGAAAACAGCUUUGUCAACUGAAGAAGAAGAAUGUUGGUAGCAAAACAACGCUGAACCCUAUGAAGAGCCAAACAAAACAAAAUUCAUUCUGUUGCACUCUUCUCCUGCAGAUUCUAGUGAUGUAUUAAUGUUGUUGAUGUUAGUCAUCCUAUUCAACAAAGGACAGCAAAUGUUAAA
ensembl:lncRNA